rnacentral:rRNA from 1 species
UUGGUGUGGUUGUUGCUGGCCCUCUUGGGGCAUGUGCACACUCGCCAUUCUCAUCUCUCCACCUGUGCACCUCUUGUAGACUUGGAUUGACUUUCCGAGGCAACUCGGUCGGUAGAACUGCUGUGCUUGUUGAGCCGGCUUUUCUUGCAUUUCCAGGUCUAUGUUUUUCAUAUACCCUUAGUAUGUAACAGAAUGUAUCAUUGGGCCUUUUUGGCCUAUAUAAACCUUAUACAACUUUCAGCAACGGAUCUCUUGGCUCUCGCAUCGAUGAAGAACGCAGCGAAAUGCGAUAAGUAAUGUGAAUUGCAGAAUUCAGUGAAUCAUCGAAUCUUUGAACGCACCUUGCGCUCCUUGGUAUUCCGAGGAGCAUGCCUGUUUGAGUGUCAUUAAAUUCUCAACCUUAUUAGCUUUUGCUAAUAAUGGCUUGGAUUUGGGGGUCUUUUUGCCGGCUUCUUCACCGAGGUCAGCUCCCCUUAAAUGCAUUAGCUGGUGCCCUGUGUGGACUUGUCUAUUGGUGUGAUAAUUAUCUACGCCGUGGAUGUCUGCAAUUAUAUGGGUUUGCACUGCUUCUAACUGUCUGUUUAUUCAGACAAUACAUGACAAUUUGACCUCAAAUCAGGUAGGACUACCCGCUGAACUUAA